CGGUUCGCGGCGCGUGUGGACGAGGGUGUCCGGCUGCGAGCUGGACAGGCUCUGCCCCGCCGGAUGCCAGCCGGCGGAACCGA
rnacentral:tRNA from 1 species